rnacentral:lncRNA from 1 species
UUUCCAAUUAAUAGUAUCAAAAGCCUUUCUCACAACAAUUUCCAAGGCUAAGUUUCCCCCAUAAGACUUCUUGUGAAGAGAAUUAAUAGCUUCUGAAGUAGUUAAGAUGCAGUCUUGAAUUUUUCUACCUGGAAUGAAUCCCCUUUGAUUUAUAGAAGUGAUUUUGGAAGCAAUAAUUCCCAAUAUAUCAACCAAAAUUUUGGUAAUGAUUUUGAAUUGACAUUACAAUCAAAACAUACGAUUGAGUAAUGGAAUUAGAAUAAAUUGUUGAAGGAUAAGUGUUUUGGUUCAAGGGUGCAAGGUAUGGGAUAGAUUGGAGAUAGUUUGAGAGGAAGAAGACUGAAAUUUGAGAGGAAGAAGAAGAUUAACCGUUUUUUUAAUUUCAUCCCUGUGUCAAUUUACGAUUUUGAUUUUAGUCCCUGUAUUUUAACAACUUAUCAUCUCUCAUGCCAUCUCAUCAAAUGUGCCAACUGCCACGUGUGUUCCGUUAGCCACCAUGGCGUUUUUGUUGACAGAAGCUGACGGCAAGGACUAUUUUCAAAAGGUUGAGAAGAUACAGGGUUCAUUUUAGAA